CCUACGGGUGGCAGCAGUGGGGAAUAUUGGACAAUGGGGGCAACCCUGAUCCAGCCAUGCCGCGUGUGUGAAGAAUGCCCUCGGGUUGUAAAGCACUUUCAGUGAGGAAGAACGCCUGGUGGUUAAUACCCAUCAGGAAAGACAUCACUCACAGAAGAAGCACCGGCUAACUCCGUGCCAGCAGCCGCGGUAAUACGGAGGGUGCGAGCGUUAAUCGGAAUUACUGGGCGUAAAGCGCGCGUAGGUGGCUUGAUAAGCCGGUUGUGAAAGCCCCGGGCUCAACCUGGGAACGGCAUCCGGAACUGUCAAGCUAGAGUGCAGGAGAGGAAGGUGGAAUUCCCGGUGUAGCGGUGAAAUGCGUAGAGAUCGGGAGGAAUACCAGUGGCGAAGGCGGCCUUCUGGACUGACACUGACACUGAGGUGCGAAAGCGUGGGUAGCAAACAGGAUUAGAUACCCCAGUAGUC
rnacentral:rRNA from 1 species